UACGUAGGUCCCGAGCGUUGUCCGGAUUUAUUGGGCGUAAAGCGAGCGCAGGUGGUUUAUUAAGUCUGGUGUAAAAGGCAGUGGCUCAACCAUUGUAUGCAUUGGAAACUGGUAGACUAGAGUGCAGGAGAGGAGAGUGGAAUUCCAUGUGUAGCGGUGAAAUGCGUAGAUAUAUGGAGGAACACCGGUGGCGAAAGCGGCUCUCUGGCCUGUAACUGACACUGAGGCUCGAAAGCGUGGGGAGCAAACAGG
rnacentral:rRNA from 1 species